rnacentral:rRNA from 1 species
UGUUGUCCUGGGGUAAGCAUGUAGGGCGGAACGUAGGUAAAUCCGCGUUCUAUUCAGCCUGAGAUGUGAUGCCGAGCCGAUUGUGGUGAAGUGGAUGAUCCUAUGCUGCCGAGAAAAGCCUCUAGUGAGUGUUGUGGCGGCCCGUACCCUAAACCGACUCAGGUGGUCAGGUAGAGAAUACCAAGGCGAUCGGGUGAACUGUGGUUAAGGAACUCGGCAAAUUGCCCCCGUAACUUCGGGAGAAGGGGGACCUCUGCUGGUGAUGGGCUUUACGUUCUGAGCUGGUGGGGGUCGCAGUGGCCAGGGGGAAGCGACUGUUUACUAAAAACACAGGUCCGUGCGAAGUCGUAAGACGAUGUAUACGGACUGACGCCUGCCCGGUGCCGGAACGUUAAGGGGACCGCUUAGCCAACGCGAGUUGGCGAAGGUGAGAACUUAAGCGCCGGUAAACGGCGGUGGUAACUAUAACCAUCCUAAGGUAGCGAAAUUCCUUGUCGGGUAAGUUCCGACCUGCACGAAUGGCGUAACGACUUCCCCGCUGUCUCAACCACAGACCCGGCGAAAUUGCACUACGAGUAAAGAUGCUCGUUUCGCGCAGCAGGACGGAAAGACCACGGGACCUUCACUACAGCUUGACAUUGGCGUUUGGAACGUCUUGUGUAGGAUAGGUGGGAGACUGGGAAGCUGUCACGCUAGUGAUGGUGGAGUCAUUGGUGAAAUACCACUCUGGUCGUUUUGAACGUCUAACUCUGGUCCGUGAUCCGGAUCGGGGACAGUGUCUGGUGGGUAGUUUAACUGGGGCGGUUGCCUCCUAAAGAGUAACGGAGGCGCCCAAAGGUUCCCUCAGCCUGGUUGGCAAUCAGGUGUUGAGUGUAAGUGCACAAGGGAGCUUGACUGUGAGACUGACAGGUCGAGCAGGAGCGAAAGCUGGGACUAGUGAUCCGGCAUCGGCGUGUGGAAGCGGUGUCGCUCAACGGCUAAAAGGUACCCCGGGGAUAACAGGCUGAUCUUCCCCAAGAGUCCAUAUCGACGGGAUGGUUUGGCACCUCGAUGUCGGCUCGUCGCAUCCUGGGGCUGGAGUAGGUCCCAAGGGUUGGGCUGUUCGCCCAUUAAAGCGGUACGCGAGCUGGGUUUAGAACGCCGCGAGACAGUUCGGUCCCUAUCCGCUGCGCGCGCAGGAGACUUGAAGGGGGCUGUCCCUAGUACGAGAGGACCGGGACGGACGAACCUCUGGUGUGCCAGUUGUACCGCCAGGUGCACGGCUGGUUGGCUACGUUCGGAAGGGAUAACCGCUGAAAGCAUCUAAGCGGGAAGCUCGCCUUGAGAUGAGGUCUCCCACCCCGUGAGGGGGUAAGGCUCCCGGUAGAUCACCGGGUUGAUAGGCCGGAGGUGGAAGCACGGUAACGUGUGGAGCUGACCGGUACUAAUAGGCCGAGGACUUGAUC